UUACCAGACUCCUACGGGAGGCAGCAGUGGGGAAUAUUGGGCAAUGGGCGCAAGCCUGACCCAGCAACGCCGCGUGAAGGAAGAAGGCUUUCGGGUUGUAAACUUCUUUUAUGAGGGACGAAAGAAAUGACGGUACCUCAUGAAUAAGCCACGGCUAACUACGUGCCAGCAGCCGCGGUAAUACGUAGGUGGCAAGCGUUAUCCGGAUUUACUGGGUGUAAAGGGCGUGUAGGCGGGACUGCAAGUCAGAUGUGAAAAUUAGGGGCUCAACCCAUAACCUGCAUUUGAAACUGUUGGUCUUGAGUAUCGGAGAGGCAGGCGGAAUUCCUAGUGUAGCGGUGAAAUGCGUAGAUAUUAGGAGGAACACCAGUGGCGAAGGCGGCCUGCUGGACGACAACUGACGGUGAGGCGCGAAAGCGUGGGGAGCAAACAGGAUUAGAUACCCCUGUA
rnacentral:rRNA from 1 species